rnacentral:rRNA from 1 species
UACGUAGGGCGCAAGCGUUGUCCGGAAUUAUUGGGCGUAAAGAGCUCGUAGGCGGUUUGUCGCGUCUGCUGUGAAAACCUAAGGCUCAACCUCGGGUCUGCAGUCGAUACGAGCAAACUAGAGUGUUGCAGGGGAGACUGGAAUUCCUGGUGUAGCGGUGAAAUGCGCAGAUAUCAGGAGGAACACCGGUGGCGAAGGCGGGUCUCUGGGCAACAACUGACGCUGAGGAGCGAAAGCGUGGGGAGCGAACAGG